AUCUCUGCUCACUCAGACCACACCCCCAUGAGUAGGAUGCAACACUCUAGUGAUGGAGAUGUAGUGUUUUAUAAGUAAUGAGGGCUUUACUUUAUAAGUAAAGCAGACUAAGGUGAUUAGAACUCAAUGGAAUGUCAAGUCUGUAAAUCUUUAAACCAUGAAGAUGGUUGGAUAGUUCAGGAAUUGGGCUUCUUUUUAUUAUGGGCAGUCCUUUCACUCAGAUGCUCACUGGAGCUGUACAUGUGUUGGCUGGCUGGCAUGAUUUGCUGUUGGUGAUGAGGCAGUCAGGGUGACGUUGCAGGGCUAUGGUCGGCUCUCUGUGAGCUCAACGUUUAGAUUUGCUCUGUAUGUUUUUGUACCCUGAAUAAUCUAGAUAAUUGUAAAAUGUAGACACGGUUUUAUAUUGAAUGAUUCCAGGAUUUUAGGUUUAAAGUUGUCGUGGGACCUACAUGGUAGUUUGGUUCUUCGUAUGGUUUUGAGUGAUAUAACUUGUACACACUGGGUGCAUAAUAAUGUUAAGGCACACUUAAUAGUAGUAAUUACCAACAGCAACAAACAGAUCUCCUCAAAGUAAGUCUGUUGGCUGUGUUUUAAUGAAGACCAUCGCUGGACUUCAGGAUCUUCCUCCGUUCAGCUCAAGGUGUCUGCCUCCUCACCCAGAGCAAGACCUCCACCUCCUCACCCAGAGCCAGACCUCCACCUCCUGUCAGAAGUCCUCCAGAACAGCUGAAAGGCGAGGCUGAGAGGCUGGGGACCGGAAGCUUGUGGUGCCAGGGUGAACCGGAGACUGAGGCUGGAGACCAGAGACCUGCGGCACCGGACCAGAGGGUAACCAUCGACAAGCUCAUCUGAAACACUAAAAUCCACGACCAGGAAUCCAUGGCUGAAGGAGCUGAUGGAGGAGCCGAGCUGAUGGAGGAGUCGUGCUGAAGGCCCUGCCUUGUGGAGGAGCUGGUGGAGGCCCUGCCUGGUGAAGGACGUCUGUCGUGGGACCAGGACUCUGUCUGUGGAGAGCCGCUGGAGGAGCUGAGACGCUGGAGGACGACUAGGAAUCGACCAACAAGGAUUCCUCAACGUGUUUCUGGAGCGGAGGCGAGCUGGUAGGGGAGCCAUGAAUCUGGAGGAUGACCAUCACUCUACCAACAAGGAUUACUUUAGGGCCAGACCCGCGCUGUUUGUUCAAGACCAGGACUCUGGCUGAGGAGAGCUGAUGGAGGAGCCAAGACUCUGGAGGACGACAUCACUCCGCCAACCAGGAUCCUCACACACCGGAGCUGAACCUCACCUGAUCCUGUUUGGUCGGGGGUCGACACACCUGAGCUAAACCCGCCCUGAUCCUGACAUCCUUCUGGUCCCGUCUCCUCAGUUCAUCUGAGCCUCGUCCUCCAGAAGACCUGCUGAGCUCAGCUGUCUGAGGCUGAUGGAUCAAUGACCUCCAGUGGGAGUGAUCUUCUUGACCCCACAUGUAACCGUGUGCUUCCACACGCCUUUUCCUCACAUCUGUCACUAACCUCACUACUUCACUACUCUCUACUACUUCCUCUUUUCUUCCUUCUCUGUGGUUCAAACCUUUACACUGAAGGCGCGUCUUCCUGCCCUCAGAGGGUUUAGUGUUAGGGUUGAGAGUCAGGGUUUAGAGUCAGGGACAGAGCUGGUCAGGGAGGACUGCUUUUACACAAACCUCUUCACUUGCUUUCGGAAUGGUGGUGACAUUUUGAAAAGAUUCAUUUGGGAAAAUGUUUUCCUCUGCUUUCCUUUAAAAAAAAUGUAUUAAACUUUGUACCAUAUAUACCAGACGACUACAUCUGUUUUACCACAUGUUGAAGCCAGAGUUCCACUGUUUGUUCCAGACACGGACUCUGUCUGAGGAGAGCUGCUGGAGGAGCUGAGACGCUGGAGGACGACUAGGAAUCGACCAACAAGGAUUCCUCAACGUGUUUCUGGAGCGGAGGCGAGCUGGUAGGGGAGCCAUGAAUCUGGAGGAUGACCAUCACUCUACCAACAAGGAUUACUUUAGGGCCAGACCCGUGCUGUUUGUUCCAGACCAGGACUCUGGCUGAGGAGAGCUGAUGGAGGAGCCAAGACUCUGGAGGACGACAUCACUCCGCCAACCAGGAUCCUCACACACCUGAGCUGAACCUCACCUGAUCCUGUUUGGUCGGGGGUAGACACACCUGAGCUAAACCCGCCCUGAUCCUGACAUCCUUCUGGUCCCGUCUCCUCAGUUCAUCUGAGCCUCGUCCUCCAGAAGACCUGCUGAGCUCAGCUGUCUGAGGCUGAUGGAUCAAUGACCUCCAGUGGGAGUGAUCUUCUUGACCCCACAUGUAACCGUGUGCUUCCACACACGCCUUUUCCUCACGUCUGUCACUAACCUCACUACUUCACUACUCUCUACUACUUCCUCUUUUCUUCCUUCUCUGUGGUUCAAACCUUUACACUGAAGGCGGGUCUUCCUGCCCUCAGAGGGUUUAGUGUUAGGGUUGAGAGUCAGGGUUUAGAGUCAGGGACAGAGCUGGUCAGGGAGGACUGCUUUUACACAAACCUCUUCACUUGCUUUCGGAAUGUUGGUGACAUUUUGAAAAGAUUCAUUUGGGAAAAUGUUUUCCCUCUGCUUUCCUUUAAAAAAAAUGUAUUAAACUUCUGACAAGUGUUUUUGUUUAUAUAUUAAAAUACCACAAUGACUUCUA
ensembl:lncRNA